rnacentral:tRNA from 1 species
AGCUAGCAUGGCAUAGUGGUUUAAGUGUUAGACUACAACUCUGGAGACCAGGGUUAGAUUCCCUGCUUGGCUA